GAUGACAGAUUUUCACAUUUCUUUAUUUAGUUAACUAUUAAAUAAGUAAAACAUUACAUUACAUUUAACCCAGCUUCUUUAUGUAACGUUAUGUCUGUGUUGCGUGUGGUAAUUGGAACAUCUUUAUUUUCUGACUAACGUUAGGCAUUUCUCUUAAGCAUUUCAGAAAUCAUUAAAACCUUUCAUUUUUUUUAGCACAGCGACAUAAAUAUGACCAACCAGAUCCCAAGUAGACAGGAACAAAUGAAGAUAUAGCGCAUAGAAAGACUUAUUCUUGGUGAUCAACUGCUAUUGACAUUUUUGAAUCGGGGCAAAUGUGGAGUGAAGAAAAACGUUUGCAACACAUCCAUUCCAGAGUGCUCUGACAGAUAAAACUGACACGCUUGAUGAGGACACAGUCAAGCUUUAAAAGCCCGUGUGAUAAAGCAGUCUUCAAUUACUACGGUGUCUGAAUUGCAAGAAGAAGUCACCCUCCACUUAAACAUGUGACAUCUAAACUGUUUUGUGUUUUAGUUCAGCUUUUUAUAGGUUUAUCUUAAGUUGGUUAAAGGCAGAGUGCACUAUUUUUGAAAGCCAAUGUUAACAUUUGAAAUUACCUAAACAAACAUGCCUCUACCCCAAUAGAAUCUGGACCUUCUUUUGAUAGAGCCACCACACACAUACGCAAUCCCGGCAAGGAUGUCAGUUAGUAGACACGCCCCUUACUGCUGGUUGGCUACAAGUGUGUUUUGGUAGUCGGCCCAAUUUCCUUUUCCAAAGCGUUUUUCAAACAUUGUGCACUCCGUCUUUAAAUUGCACUUAAACAUUUUUUUUCAGUAACUUUUUAUGCAGAGAAUUACAUUAUGAUUAUUAUAUAAUCAUUGCUUAUGAAUAUUCAGUGAUUGCAUAUUCAUAGUGUACUUUUCAUUAAU